rnacentral:rRNA from 1 species
UACGGAAGGGGCUAGCGUUGUUCGGAAUUACUGGGCGUAAAGCGCGCGUAGGCGGCUGGGUAAGUGUGGCGUGAAAGUCCUGGGCUCAACCUGGGGACGGCGCUGCAGACUGCCUGGCUGGAGUCCGGAAGAGGGUAGUGGAAUUCCGAGUGUAGAGGUGAAAUUCGUAGAUAUUCGGAGGAACACCGGUGGCGAAGGCGGCUACCUGGUCCGGUACUGACGCUGAAGUGCGAAAGCGUGGGGAGCAAACAGG